rnacentral:rRNA from 1 species
GACGAACGCUGGCGGCGUGCUUAACACAUGCAAGUCGAACGGAAAGGCCCUGCUUUUGUGGGGUGCUCGAGUGGCGAACGGGUGAGUAACACGUGAGUAACCUGCCCUUGACUUUGGGAUAACUUCAGGAAACUGGGGCUAAUACCGGAUAGGAGCUCCUGCUGCAUGGUGGGGGUUGGAAAGUUUCGGCGGUUGGGGAUGGACUCGCGGCUUAUCAGCUUGUUGGUGGGGUAGUGGCUUACCAAGGCUUUGACGGGUAGCCGGCCUGAGAGGGUGACCGGGCAUGUGGUGACGUGGACAGGCCACAGACUCGGAGGGGGGGGAGCAGGGGGAAAUAUUGCACAAGGGGGGGGACCGUGAGGAAGCACCGCGGAGGGGGGGAGGGCGGGCUCCGGUUUGUAACCCCCUUUCGCUGGUCAGGAAGCGCGAUUGACGGUAAGGAGGAAAGGACCACCGUCAAACUACGUACGAGCAGCCGCGGUAAUAGUCGAAGCCAACACUUCUGACC